GCUGGUUUAAGAAAGCUAUAAAUUUCUUAAUUUUAUAGAUUAAAAUUUAAAAUUUAAAACAAUAUAGAGAAAGAAUUCAGAAUUCCAUCAGAUAAAUUUAACAUAAAGAUAUGAAUGAUUUUUUAAAAAAUGAACCGAAAUUCUGGAGCUGAAACAUAACAAUUGACAUAUAGAAGAAUGCAACAGAGUAAACAGCAGGAUUGAUCAAGAAGAAAAAAGAAUUAGUGAGCUUAAAGACAGGCUAUUUGAAAAUAUACAAUUGAAGGAGACAAAAGAAAAAGAAUAAAGCAAGCCUACAAGAUCAAGAAAAUUUAAGUUAUCUCCCUUAAAGAGGAGGUAGAGUGAGAGUUCAGGGUAGAAAGUUUAUUCAAAGGGAUAACAGAGAACUCUCUGUACCUAGAGAAAGAUGUCAAUAUUCAAGUACAAGAAGAUUAUACAACACCCAGAGGAUUUAAACCAUGUAAGACAACUUCAAGACAUUUAAUAAACGAGCUCCCAAAAGAAGAGAAUAAAGAAAGGAGUCUAAAAGCAGCAAGAAAAAAGAAACAAAUAACAUCCAAAGAGAUCCAGUACAUGUGGUAGCAGACUUCUCAGUGGAAACUUUACAGGCCAGGAGGGAGUGGCAUGACAUAUUUAAAGUGUUGAAGGAAAAAAAAGUUUUAUCCUAGAAUAGCAUAUCCAAUGAAAACGUCAUUCAAACAUGAAGAAGAAAUAAUGACUUUUUCAGACAAACAAAAGCAAAAGCUGAGGGAUUUCAUCAAUACCAGACCUAUCCUGCAAGAAAUGCUAAAUGGAGUUCUUCAGUCUGAAAGAAAAGGAUGUUAACAAGCAAUAAGAAAUUAUCUGAAGGUACAAAAGUCAUUGGUAAUAGUAAGUAUACGUACAAACAGAGUAUUGCAACACCGUAAUUGUGCUGUGUAAACUACUCAUAAUCUUGAGUAGAAUGACUAAAAGAUGAAUCUAUCAAAAAGAAUAACUACAGCAACAUUUCGAUGCAUAGACAAUAAUAUAUCAAUAUGAACAAUAAAAAGUCAAAAAGGGGAAAUGAAGUUAAAGUGUAGCAUUUUUAUUAGUUUUCUCUUUGCUUGUUUUUGCAAUCAGUGUUAAGUCGACAUCAGUUUAAAAUAAUGGCUUAUAAGAUGUGAUUUGCAGGCCUCAUGGUAACCUCAAAUCAAGAAAUCUACAACAGAUAUCCAAAAAAAUAAAAAGCAAGAAAUUAAAACAUACCACCAUAAAAAAAUAAACUUCACAAAAAGGAUGACAAGGAAGGAAGGAUGACAAGGAAAGGAAGGAAGGAAGGAAGGAAGGAAGGGAAGGGGAAGGGGAGAAGGAGGGAGGGGAGAAGGUGGGAGGGAGGAAGGGAGAGAGGAAGGAAGGCGAAACAACCAGAAAACAAAUAACAAAAUGGCAGUAGUAAGCCUUUAUCAACAAUAACAUUGAAAGUAAACGCACUAACCUCUCCAAUCAAAACACAGAGUGGCUGAAUGGGUUUUUAAAAACAAGGCCAAUGAUCUGUUGUCUACAAGAAACAUGCUUCACAUAUAAAGACACAAAUACUGAAAAUAAAGGAAUGGAAAAGAUAUUCCAUGCAAAUGUAAGCCAAAAAAGAAUAGAAGGAGCUAUACUUAUAUCAGACAAAAUAGAUUUCAAGGCAAAAAGUGUAAAAAGAGACAAAAAUGGCAUUAUAUAAUGAUAAAGGGGUCAAUUAAGCAAGAGGAUAUUACAAUUGUAAAUAUAUAUGCACCCAACAGUGGAGCACCCAGAUAUACAAAGCAAAUAUUAUUAGAGCUAAAAAGAGAAAUAGAUCUCAAUACAAUAAGGGCUGGAGACUUCAACACUCCACUUUUAGCACUGGACAGAUCAUCCAUUCAGAAAAUCCACAAAGAAACAUGAGACUUAAUCUGUGGCACAGACCAGAUGAACCUAGUAGAUGUUUACAGAACAUUUCAUCCAAUGUCUACAGUAUACAUAUUCUUUUCCUCAGCCCAUAGAUUAUUCUCAGAGAUAGCCCAUACAUUAGGCCACAAGUCUUAAAAAUUUUAAAAGAUGAAAUUAUAUCAAGUAUCAUCUCUGAUCACAUGGAAUAAAACUAGAAAUCAAUAACAAGAGGAACUUUGGAAACCAUACAAACACAGGAAAAUUAAACAAUACGCUCCUGAAUGACCAGCAGGUCAAAUAAGCAAUUAAAAAUAAAAUAAAAUUAUUUUUAAAACAAAGAAAAUGGAAACAUAACAUACCAAAACCUAGGAGAUAUAGAAAAAGCAGUACUAAGAUGAAAUUUUAUAGCACUGUCUCCAUGAAAAAAGUAGAAUAUCUUCAAAUAAGCUAAUAAUGCAUCUUGAAAAAUUAGAAAGAUAAGAACAAACCAAACUCCAAAUCUGUACUCACAAAAAUUAAAAAUUGAAAAACUAAAGUAAAAAGUAAAUACUUUAUAUUGUAUUAAUGAAGAUGCAAUACAAACUAUAUAAAAUUAAAAUAAUUUUUGUCUUAAUAUCUGAAUUUUAUUAUUUUAGAAAUUAAUAUUUCACAUAUACAGCACGGAAUACGAUGCAACCAUAAAAGGGAACAAAAUCUUGUCUUUUGCAGCAACAUGGAUGCAGCUGGAGGCUGUUAUCCUAAGUGAACUAAGGCAGAAACAGAAAACCGAAUACUGCAAAUUCUUACUUAUAAGUAGGAAGUAAACACUGAAUACAUAGGGACACAAAGAUGGGAACAUAGACACUGGGGACUACUUGAUGGGGGAGGGUAGGAGAGGAAUGUAGGUUGAGAAACUGCCUAUAGGAUACUUCACUCACUACCUAGGUGAAGGGAUCAUUCGUACACCAAACUUCAGCAACAUGCAAUUUACCCAUGUAACAAACCUGCACAUGUACCCUCUGAACCUAAAAUAAAAAUAGACAGGAAAAAAAGAAGAUUUUAGUACUCUGUAAUUUUCUUCUCAUAAAACAUUUUUAUUAUGAAAUAUUUCACUCAUAAAUGAAAGGAAACAAAAUAAAAUGUAUGGUUCAAUAAAUUUUCACAAGGAGAAUACCUUUGAACCACCACCAAGACCAAUAAAUCAUAUACUGUGUAACUUUCUAUAGAUUAUAGGUUUACAGGAAAAUAUACAUUUCUAAACACUAUGGAAACUAUACAAACACAUGGAAAUUAAACAGUAUUCUCCUGUUCAAUUUUGCCACUGUUCACAUUUUAUAUACCUGACACCUCACUAUAUGUAUUAUUUUGUAUAGGUUUUAUUCAUCCAAUAUUUUAAGAACAGCUAUGUUACUUAAUGGAGAUGUAAUUUGUUUUUUUAAAUUGCUUCACUGAAUUUCUUAUAUGAAUAUAUUAUAUAAUAAAGUAUCCAUUAUACCAUUUGCAGACUUUAAAAUUGUUUCUAAUAUUUGAUUAUUAUGAAUGAUAAAGUUUUGAAACUCCUUGUCUUUGGGUACAAAUAAACAACAUUUCUGUUGUUUAUAAAAAUGAAUUGCUAGGCAUAAGGAAUGCAUAUGUUAUACUCAAUAUAUGAGACCAAAAGAAUUUUAAAGAGUGACUGUGCCUAUUUGUACUUCCACCAAAAGAUAGAGCAGUUAUGUUUGUGCCAGAUGUUUUCUAAUAUCUGAUGCUGUGGCAUAUUAAUUUAGCCACUCAAAUAACUCUGUUGCAGUAUUUCAUUGUAGUUUAUUUAUUAUUUUCCUAAUAACUAAUGCUGUUAAACCUUCUCAUGUUUAUUGUCCAUAUUGAUAUCAUCUUUUGUGAAGUGUCUGAUCAAGACCUUUGCCAUUUUUCCAUUGACUAACCUCUUUUUCUUAUUAAUUUGUAGGUGAUUUCCAUGUAUUCUCAACAAAAAUACUCUGCUAGUGAUACAGCUCUAAUGAAUGGAGGAACACCAGGUUCUUGUCUCGCACGAUUUAGAUAAAACAACAUGGACACAUGUGGAGUGGAGCAGAGUUUAAUAAGCAAGAAAGAAAAGAGAAGGCAAAAGGAAGAGGCUCCCCAAUAAAGACACAGAGGGAGGGGGGCUCCAAAGCUAAAAGAGGAGACUCCACGUCCCACAGAUACCAGCCAGGUAUAAGAAGAGGCUGGAGGAGGCGGUGUUGGAUUUGCAUAGGACUCAGGGGAUUGCUUUGACCAGGCCUGUUUUUCACAUAGCUUCUAAAAAACUAGCCCUCCCACCCUAGCCUUUUAAUAUACAAACACAAGGCACCAUGAUGUUUUACAUAUGUGGGGAUAUGUGGGGACAGCCAUGUUGCCAGGCACAUGUGGGGCAAGGGCAAGAAGGCCAUGGGAAUUGCCAUUUUUGGGUGGACCCAGUCUCUAAUGGCCGACAUUCGCCUAUUAAAGGUUGCCUCCAUGGCUUUAAGAGCCUGGACUUUGCUUCUAGACAAGAAACGUUUUUGGAGCUGCUUUAAAAGAAACCAAAACGUUUCCUCUUUAUCUGCCUAAAAUAAUUUCUUAAAAACUCCUACCACAGUAAUUAUAAAAAGUCUUGGCCGGGUGUGGUGGCUCAUGCCUGUAAUCCCAGCACUUUGGGAGGCUAAGGUGGGCAGAUCACGAAAUCAAGAGAUGGAGACCAUCCUGGCCAGCAUGGUGAAAGCCCGUCUCUACUAAAAAUACAAAAAUUAGCUGGGCCGUGGUGGUGCAUGCCUGUAGUCCCAGCUACUUGGGAGGCUGAGGCAGGAGAAUUGCUUGAACCUGGGAGGCAGAGGUUGAAGUGAGCCGAGAUCACGCCACUGCACUCCAGCCUGGUGACACAGUGAGACUCUGUCUCAAAAAAAAUAAAAUAAAAUAAAAAAGUUUUGUUAUUUGAUAGAUCAAGACCUCUCACCUUGUUUUGUUCAAAAACUUG
rnacentral:lncRNA from 10 species